UCCAGUUUUGAACUGGGCGAGGGACCCCGCCUCCGCCACACCAGGCUCAAGUUCGUUCCACUCUUUGAUGGUGAUUAUAAGAGGGACGAACGAGAGCCUGGCACCGUCUUCCUAUCUCUAACAUUAUAAUAUGUAGGAUUUUAUGCUAUCUAUUUGUAAUAACUGGGCGCAAGUUGUAAAUACUCGACAUAUUUCAUGCACUUAAUGUGACGUUGUCCGUCGAUAUUCAAUAAAAUCUGAAUCUAUAAAUAUACAAGGUGUUGCUCAGAAUGUCGCUUGUGCCCUUGGGAAAGGACGUUCCACACUUAACUCAAGUGAAAGUGAGUAUUGUCUUGUUUUGUGUUUUUGCCAUGACUGAAUUUCGUUGGGUGACAUUAAGACCGCGACAUCAGGGGUCAUCACAGGUCCCUGACCUUUAGAACUGGUCUAACCACCUCUGCUGACGCGAAAGCCAAUUAAGCUACUCUCCAAACAGAAAUUCGCAUUUCCGCCUACUUUUGACGUCUCUUAAGCCGCCAAAAAAGAUCUGCCAUGUUUUUUGAGGGGAACGGAAACAACGACAUGGACGUCGGUGGUUCCUCUACUAACAACAGGCACCAAGUAUCCAUAGACCCUGGCACCUACUUCGUAACCAGGAUCUUAGUCAAGGCGCUGAUCGUAGGGCUGGCCAUACUUAUCGGAACUGGAGCGUACAAGCUGUGGCAGUGGUGUCGUUCUAAGGCGAAAGGGCAAGCUGAAACAGAAG